GAAGUGAGGUGAAUAAUGCAGGCAUUGUGACACUAAUGACCUACUGACAAACAUGAGAAAGGAAAAUUAUCUGCUUUGGGGCCAUAGUUGACCACUGGUAACUGAAACCAUGGAAAGUGAAACCGUAGAUGUGUAAAGCUGGAAAAAGAAAUACUGGACGAAGGACGUGAAUAUACUUUUCUCCAAAAAAGAAUACACACAAAUGGCUAGUAAGCACAUGAAAAGGUGCUCGGCAUCAUUAGUCAUUAGAGAAAUGCGUCUCAAGCCCACCGUGCCUUGUUUCCAUUACCAUCAUUUUUCUCUUAUGGGUUCAACUAUACUUCCAAGGUUUUCUAAGGACUAUUAAAUGCCUAAUAACAGCACCUAUUAAAUACACUGGGUAAAAGACCUCAUGACUCAUGAAUGCUAACAGUGGGUCCUUGAAGAGCUGAAGAACCAGUCUAACUGUGAUACUUUGUCUCAGCAGCUGCAGAAUAACUUUCACAAUUUUUCUGGAGAAGGAGAAAAGCAGUAAGGAAGAUAAAAAAAGACAGUGAAAAUGGGGCUGAACUUCUCUUCUUCUUUUCCUGUAAAGCUUCACACCUCUCAGGUGUGUCUAAAAAUUUAAUCCUAGAUGUCCAAAAAAAAAAAAAAAGAGAGAGAGAGAGAGAG